rnacentral:rRNA from 1 species
UGGGGGAUAUUGCACAAUGGGCGAAAGCCUGACGCAGCAACGCCGCGUGAGUGAGGAAGGCCUUCGGGUCGUAAAGCUCUGUCAAAGGGAAAGAAGUGCAUGGUGGUUAAUACCCAUGAUGCUUGACGGUACCCCUAAAGGAAGCACCGGCUAACUCCGUGCCAGCAGCCGCGGUAAUACGGGGGGUGCAAGCGUUGUUCGGAAUUAUUGGGCGUAAAGCGCGUGUAGGCGGUUUGUUAAGUCUGAUGUGAAAGCCCCGGGCUCAACCUGGGAAGUGCAUUGGAAACUGGCAGACUUGAAUACGGGAGAGGGUAGUGGAAUUCCUGGUGUAGGAGUGAAAUCCGUAGAUAUCAGGAGGAACACCGGUGGCGAAGGCGGCUGCCUGGACCGAUAUUGGCGCUGAGACGCGAAAGCGUGGGUAGCAAACA